GGGGAUUCAGGAGUGAAACUGGUGUCUGCGGCUCUGAGGACCCGGAGUGUAAAAUACAGACACUGUGGCUGACCCGUGUCGGUCUCACAGAUUCUGGUGCCGAGGAUCUCGUCUCCGCUCUCAGUACAAACCCAUCACUGACGGAGCUGGACCUGAGUGGUAAUAAACUGGGGGAUUCAGGAGUGAAACUGGUGUCUGCGGCUCUGAGGAACCCGGAGUGUAAAAUACAGAGACUGUGGCUGACCCGUGUCGGUCUCACAGAUUCUGGGGCCGAGGAUCUCGUCUCCACUCUCAGUACAAACCCAUCACUGACGGAGCUGGACCUGAGUGAUAAUAAACUGGGGGAUUCAGGAGUGAAACUGGUGUCUGCGGCUCUGAGGAACCCGGAGUGUAAAAUACAGAGACUGGGGUAAGUACCAGACUGUGGGAGAUUGUGUUUACAGUCACUGGGUGUCUGACACUGAACAUUAAUGUGAUCAGUAAUUGUGUUACUGAUAAACACUGGGGAUUUGUACCGUCUCCUGUCUCUCUGUGUCCUUCACCCUCACUCUCUCUCAUCUCCAGGCUGUACAAUGUCGGUCUCACAGAUUCUGGGGCCGAGGAUCUCGUCUCCGCUCUCAGUACAAACCCAUCACUGACGGGGCUGAACCUGGGAUACAACUCUCUGACAGACCGAUCUGUCCCCGCUCUCCGCCGCCUCAUACUGACCCACCCGAGUCUGGAGCGGAUCUGGCUGCGGGGGAAUCGGUUCAGUGAGACCGGGAUGAAGGAACUGAGAUCUCUACGGGAACCCAGACCCGGACUGAUGGUGGAUCUGUGAACAUCUGAAUGUGGGGAAUCGGUUCAGUGAGACCGGGAUGAAGGAACUGAGAUCUCUACGGGAACCCAGACCCGGACUGAUGGUGGAUCUGUGAACAUCUGAAUGUGGGGAAUCGGUUCAGUGAGACCGGGAUGAAGGAACUGAGAUCUCUACAGGAACCCAGACCCGGACUGAGAGUGGAUCUGAGAACAUCUGAAUGUGGUGAAUCGGUUCAGUGAGACCGGGAUGAAGGAACUGAGAUCUCUACAGGAACCCAGACCCGGACUGAGAGUGGAUCUGUGAACAUCUGAAUGUGGUGAAUCGGUUCAGUGAGACCGGGAUGAAGGAACUGAGAUCUCUACAGGAACCCAGACCCGGACUGAUGGUGGAUCUGUGAACAUCUGAAUGUGGGGAAUCGGUUCAGUGAGACCGGGAUGAAGGAACUGAGAUCUCUACAGGAACCCAGACCCGGACUGAGAGUGGAUCUGAGGACAUUUAGCCUUUAACCUUGAUCUUACCUGGAACCCAGACCCGGACUGAUGGUGGAUCUGAAUCUGUGAACAUCCCCGCCCGCGGGGUGGGGACAUUUGGCCGACUCCCCGCCCUCCCCUUUAACUCCCGCCCUUACCUUUAACGGCCGCGCGCCGGGGCUGAUUCCCAACGGUUUUAACGGAACCGGCACGGGCCUCGCGCUGUGUGCGUCGCUCGCAGCGGUCCCGCAGUGACGUGUUUCCGCCUGUUGUCCGGCGGGGCAGCUUCCGCCGGAAGUGCGUGUUGGAGACUCCCCACGUGACUCCCGGGGAAUAACCCGGACAGGAAGAGCCCGGGGGUCCGGGGCUCAGUCUGGGACACCGGUGUCCCGGGGUGGGGGGGAUGGUCCCGGGAGAGAAUCCUUUUGCCCCCUUUGCUGAGGACGGUGCAUUCCGCAGCCUGGCCGAUAUAAUGAUGUUAAAUGGACAAAUCCCUCGGCAGUGACCCUGGAUCUGCAGCGAUCCCGGUCACGGCCCCGAAGUGUGAUUUUAUAAUCAGUUUUAUAAUUUUAUAAUCAGUUCCCCGAUGCAGAGUGACGGUGAGAAACGGGACUGGUUAUUAUUCAACCGGUCACCCCUUGUCGCCGGUCAGUUAAUUGUGUGUGACUGUCAGCAGAUUAUUUAUUACCGCACGUUAGCAGCUCACACAUUGUUUCAUUGAUAUUUCUCAUAAAAAUCAAUAAACCACUGUAUCUUCCUGU